rnacentral:lncRNA from 1 species
GCUAGAUUCUGCCUCAGUGCCAGACACCAGGUUAGCACAGAAACUGUUUGAAGACAAAGAAGUUCUCAGAAGUGAGGAUAAGUAUCUCUUGCAGAGGCAGAAGGAACUGGAACUGAAGGUUCAAGAGCUGGAAUGUGAACUUGAGAGAGAGAAGGAAGCAUCCAGGAAGACUGCUGCAAAGUUUGAGGAAACCCUGGAUACUUACAUUGGAACAAAAAUGAGAAGUUUGGCUGCUAAGGUGAAGGCAUUGAAAGAAGUUAGGUAUGUACUUUUUUUUUUUCUAAAAUAGUACUGUUCAUCAUUGUGCUGUUUGUCUCUUGAAGUCAUGUGUGCUUUUUUGUUUCCCCAAA